rnacentral:lncRNA from 1 species
GCGGAAGGUUGCCCGGGCUGGCGCCGCUGGGCAGAGCCGGUGCGACGUUUCCCUUUCCAGCUUUGUUCUUCCGGCCCUGCUGUCUGCCUCCCCGGCUGAUUGGAUUCGUUACUGCUUUGCAACGCGCACCUAACUCCAGGCUGGAGUGCAGUGGCACAAUCUCAGCUUGCUGUGACCUCAGCUCUCUGCGACCUCUGCUUGCUGGACUCAAGCGAUCCUCCCACCACCUCAGCCUCCUGAGUAGCUGGAACCAUCAUAUGCACCAGCACGCCUGGCUAAAGUUUUGCUCUUGUCACCCAGGCUGGAAUGCAAUAGCGUGGUCUUGGCUCACUGCAACCUCCGCCUCCCGGGUUCAAGCAAUUCUCCUGCCUCAGCCUCCUAAGUAGCUGGGACUACAGCUUGAGGUCCUACCUGGUGUCCUCCAUGAGAAUCAUACAAGCCCCGCUACAGACAACAGAAUUGGAAGGUCCUGAGAGCUACCAGAAGCAUCUUCAGUUUUCAUAUGAAAAACUUAAGCCCAGGAGUGAUUUGUGCAGCCAAGGACACACAGCAAGUUAGUGGCUGCACCAGAAAUAGUACUCACUGCCUCAGACAGUCCCUCCCACAGUCUACUCUGUCUCCACCCCAAGGUCUGGUUCUGAAUCAUUCAGUUGUCAGUUGUCUCCUUUUUUUUUUUUUUUUUUGGAGACAGGGUCUCUCUCUGUGGCCCAGGCUGAAGUGCAGUGGUGUGAUUACAGCUCAUGUAGCCUGGACCUCCCAAGCUCAAGCAAUCCUCCUGCCUCUGCCUCCCAAGUAGCUGGGACCACAGGUGGGCAGCACCACACCUGGCUAA